CCUACGGGAGGCAGCAGUGGGGAAUAUUGGGCAAUGGGCGCAAGCCUGACCCAGCAACGCCGCGUGAAGGAAGAAGGCUUUCGGGUUGUAAACUUCUUUUCUCAGGGACGAAGAAAGUGACGGUACCUGAGGAAUAAGCCACGGCUAACUACGUGCCAGCAGCCGCGGUAAUACGUAGGUGGCAAGCGUUAUCCGGAUUUACUGGGUGUAAAGGGCGUGUAGGCGGGAAAGCAAGUCAGAUGUGAAAACCAUGGGCUCAACCUGUGGCCUGCAUUUGAAACUGUUUUUCUUGAGUACUGGGGAGGCAGACGGAAUUCGUCGUGUAGCGGUGAAAUGCGUAGAUAUGAGGAGGAACACCAGUGGCGAAGGCGGUCUGCUGGACAGCAACUGACGCUGAGGCGCGAAAGCGUGGGGAGCAAACAGGAUUAGAUACCCGAGUAGUC
rnacentral:rRNA from 1 species